rnacentral:rRNA from 1 species
CAAUAGCGUAUAUUAAAGUUGUUGCAGUUAAAAAGCUCGUAGUUGGACUUCUGAUGUGGGACUGCGCCCCGGUAUUUUGCCGUUGGGUGCGGGCUCGCGUCUUCCUCUCGUAGUUGGAUGGUGCACUUAACUGGGUGCCUUCUGAAUAUGGGACCUUUUACUUUAGAAAAAUUAGAGUGUUCAAAGCAGGCAAUCGCUUGAAUACAUUAGCAUGGAAUAAUAGAAUAGGACUUUGGUUCUAUUUUGUUGGUUUCUAGGACCGAAGUAAUGAUUAAUAGGGACAGUUGGGGGCAUUAGUAUUUAACUGUCAGAGGUGAAAUUCUUGGAUUUGUUAAAAGACGGACUACUGCGAAAAGCAAUCUGCCAUGGAUGUUUUUCAUUGAUCAAGAACGAAAAGUUAGGGGAUCAAAAGACGAUUAGAUACCAU